AGCGUGGUAGCCGGCCGGGACGGGCGGGGUGCCGUAACCGCCCCCGGCGCCCCGGUCGAGCAGUUCGUCCGGUACGGCGGCGGACCGGGCCGCC
rnacentral:tRNA from 1 species